UACGUAGGGGGCAAGCGUUGUCCGGAUUUAUUGGGCGUAAAGAGCGUGUAGGCGGCUAGGUAGGUCCGUUGUGAAAACUCGAGGCUCAACCUCGAGCUGUCGAUGGAAACCAUCUAGCUAGAGUCCGGAAGAGGAGAGUGGAAUUCCUGGUGUAGCGGUGAAAUUCGUAGAUAUUGGGAAGAACACCGAUGGCGAAGGCAGCCAUCUGGACCGACACUGACGCUGAGGCGCGAAAGCGUGGGGAGCAAACAGG
rnacentral:rRNA from 1 species